GACGAACGCUGGCGGCGUGCUUAACACAUGCAAGUCGAACGGAAAGGCCCUGCUUUUGUGGGGUGCUCGAGUGGCGAACGGGUGAGUAACACGUGAGUAACCUGCCCUUGACUUUGGGAUAACUUCAGGAAACUGGGGCUAAUACCGGAUAGGAGCUCCUGCUGCAUGGUGUGGGUUGGAAAGUUUCGGCGGUUGGGGAUGGACUCGCGGCUUAUCAGCUUGUUGGUGGGGUAGUGGCUUACCAAGGCUUUGACGGGUAGCCGGCCUGAGAGGGUGACCGGCCACAUUGGGACUGAGAUACGGCCCAGACUCCUACGGGAGGCAGCAGUGGGGAAUAUUGCACAAUGGGCGGAAGCCUGAUGCAGCGACGCCGCGUGCGGGAUGACGGCCUUCAGGUUGUAAACCGCUUUCGCCUGUGACGAAGCGUGAGUGACGGUAAUGGGUAAAGAAGCACCGGCUAACUACGUG
rnacentral:rRNA from 1 species